GUGGGGAAUUUUGGACAAUGGGCGCAAGCCUGAUCCAGCAAUGCCGCGUGCAGGAAGAAGGCCUUCGGGUUGUAAACUGCUUUUGUACGGAACGAAACGGUCAUGGUUAAUACCUGGGGCUAAUGACGGUACCGUAAGAAUAAGCACCGGCUAACUACGUGCCAGCAGCCGCGGUAAUACGUAGGGUGCGAGCGUUAAUCGGAAUUACUGGGCGUAACGCGUGCGCAGGCGGUGCUGUAAGACAGGCGUGAAAUCCCCGGGCUCAACCUGGGAAUUGCGCUUGUGACUGCAGUGCUGGAGUACGGCAGAGGGGGAUGUGAUGCCGCGUGUAGCAGUGAAAUGCGUAGAUAUGCGGAGGAACACCGAUGGCGAAGGCAGUCCCCUGGGCCUGUACUGACGCUCAUGCACGAAAGCGUGGGGAGCAAACAGGAUUAGAAACCCCGGUAGUCC
rnacentral:rRNA from 1 species